AUUGAACGCUGGCGGCAGGCCUAACACAUGCAAGUCGAACGGUAACAGGAAGCAGCUUGCUGCUUUGCUGACGAAUGGCGGACGGGUGAGUAAUGUCUGGGAAACUGCCUGAUGGAGGGGGAUAACUACUGGAAACGGUAGCUAAUACCGCAUAACGUCGCAAGACCAAAGAGGGGGACCUUAGGGCCUCUUGCCAUCGGAUGUGCCCAGAUGGGAUUAGCUAGUAGGUGGGGUAACGGCUCACCUAGGCGACGAUCCCUAGCUGGUCUGAGAGGAUGACCAGCCACACUGGAACUGAGACACGGUCCAGACUCCUACGGGAGGCAGCAGUGGGGAAUAUUGCACAAUGGGCGCAAGCCUGAUGCAGCCAUGCCGCGUGUAUGAAGAAGGCCUUCGGGUUGUAAAGUACUUUCAGCGGGGAGGAAGGGAGUAAAGUUAAUACCUUUGCUCAUUGACGUUACCCGCAGAAGAAGCACCGGCUAACUCCGUG
rnacentral:rRNA from 1 species